GGUACAUGUAAAUGAAUGAUGUUUGUCAUUCCACCGGGAGCACCGUUUUUGUUCGUGGUACUCCAAACUUUCAUUUGGCGAUUUUUGUGACUGUUGAUAUUUUCAGAUGUCGUCUUUUAUGAUUUUAAUGACAAAUAGGACUCUCCAGCUCGGCCCUCCUGUCGAAUGAAAUCGACAAGCCCAUCGUUGUCGCUGUUCGUCUGGUGGAUGCUGGUGGUCGUGUUGGCUCUCGUGAUCGACUAUG